AUCGACAGAUGGGUGGAGAUACCUUGAGCUUCGGAGAGAAUGUCAGCAACACGAGAGUUUAUCAAUCACUGAGAUGUGCACAGUGAAUGCCCAAGAUCGUGGGGUUAUCGUGGGAGAGGGGGAGAGAUACAGUAUAGUAUGACGCACGUGUAAUCUCCCAUGAUGCGAUCAGGAAUAUACUUCAACAGCUCUUUAAUCUCUCGUUCUUGCAUGCAAAUCCAUGGAAUAAUUUCUUAAAAAUCCAGUUCGUGUGAAAAUCUCUGGAGCCAACGACUGUUUUAAUCACUUGGCAGAUUGGAGUGAGCCACGAUUGAUGACGAAUGACAUCCUCGACGACUCCUAAUCCUAAUCCGUAACAGCCUCGUUAGCUAUAACAUUUGAUAAAAGCAGCCAGAUGGGGAGGAUAACAGUGGCGGUGACGUUGAACAGCCAGUUCCCAUAGAUCAUGGAGUCGAUUAUGCUGAAGAGGAGGGCCUUCUUGGUGGCGUCGAAGCUCCGCGCUAUCAGGCUCCCGAAGCUCUCCUCAGAGAAGUGGAAGUAGGUGUAGCCAGCCACCACGAGGGAGGCGGUUACGAAGGGGUGGAGAAGGGUCCAGAAGAUGUAGAGAAAGCCCCUCGAUCCUGAGGGGUCGGAUCUCGGGGCGAUCAGGAGGACAAUUGGCACGUACAGCAUCCCUGCGAGGAGGGCUAGUGAGGCAUUGUGCAUUGCUAUGCUCAUGAGGCCUGUUGCCAGCUCCACGAGGGCUAUUAUGCAGAUCAGAGAGACAUUCUCUUGCCUCGAACGUCUGAAAAACAAAAGGAAAAACAGGAAAUUCAUUAAUUACCAAUAAAUUAUCGAUUAAACAUUCA